UUGAGCCCGUGAGUUAGAUUAUAGAGAGUUCAAGAAGGUGGUGCAGGAAUAUUUCUUGCAUUAGCAACUUCAAAUACCCCUUCAAAAUCCUCACCUGUUUGGAAAUCCUUUGUCCGAUCAGGGAAAUAAAUUGCAGGCCAAUUCAGAAGGUCAAUUGGGACUAUCUGGACAUUAAUGGUGUACGCCCUGCAUUUGUCUCAGAAAUGCCUUGCAAUGUUCAACUCCCCAGCAAAACGGCCAAGGUUGAUAAAGUGAUCGCCAGUUCAAGUGAGUAGGAUAUCAAUUUAUUGGUAGGUUAUUUCCUUAAUGUCAUAGUACAGAUCAUUUCGAUAAUUCCUAUUUAUUCAAGUGGCAGUUUGGAUCAACAUUGUUGAGGUGAAAUAGAACCAAAGUCUCCAUCUCGAGAAGCACAGUCGAUGUGGCAAUUCCUUUAUUCUUCCUUUAAUGAUUUGCUUGAUACAGAAAAUAGAAAAAGAAAGUUGGAAGACUAAGAUUUAUCUCAAAUAAUGAAUCAUGAAAUUUGAUAAUAUCAUACACAAAAAAAUUAUAGG
rnacentral:lncRNA from 1 species